rnacentral:tmRNA from 1 species
GGGGCUGAUUCUGGAUUCGACGGGAUUUGCGAAACCCAAGGUGCAUGCCGAGGGGCGGUUGGCCUCGUAAAAAGCCGCAAAAAAUAGUCGCAAACGACGAAAACUACGCUUUAGCAGCUUAAUAACCUGCUUAGAGCCCUCUCUCCCUAGCCUCCGCUCUUAGGACGGGGAUCAAGAGAGGUCAAACCCAAAAGAGAUCGCGUGGAAGCCCUGCCUGGGGUUGAAGCGUUAAAACUUAAUCAGGCUAGUUUGUUAGUGGCGUGUCCG